CAGUCGCCGCGGUAAAACGUAGGUGGCAAGCGUUGUCCGGAAUUAUUGGGCGUAAAGCGCGCGCAGGCGGAUAGGUCAGUCUGUCUUAAAAGUUCGGGGCUUAACCCCGUGAUGGGAUGGAAACUGCCAAUCUAGAGUAUCGGAGAGGAAAGUGGAAUUCCUAGUGUAGCGGUGAAAUGCGUAGAUAUUAGGAAGAACACCAGUGGCGAAGGCGACUUUCUGGACGAAAACUGACGCUGAGGCGCGAAAGCCAGGGGAGCGAACGGGAUUAGAUACCCGUGUAGUCCCUGUCUCUUAUACA
rnacentral:rRNA from 1 species